GUGAAAAACAUAUGCAGUGCCUUAAGAUGCUAACAUAGAAGGAUAAAAAGAAAAUCUUGAUAAAACCCAAAAAAAAGAUGGUAAAAUUCCCCUUUGGAUCCUAUCUGGAGUCGCAGCU